GGGGAUUGGGAGGCAGAUUGUGCCUUACAAACAGAAACGACCCAGUAGACUCCUGUUUAUGGCUACACAAAAGAAGGAAGCAAAGAAAGAAAAGAAACAAAGGAAGAAAGGAAGAGGAGAAGGAGAAAGGGAGGGCGAAAAAACAAAGUUUAAUCUCUCUACAAAUUAUUACCAUUUUAAUAAGUAUAAUUUCAAUAAUAAGUAAUAUAAAGAUUUGCAGACUGCCAUUCAGAAAUUCAUAAAAUACCACCUUUACUGAAUAGCAGCGUGUGUACUUCUACAAGGACA
rnacentral:lncRNA from 1 species